rnacentral:lncRNA from 1 species
ACAGAAGAAAAUAUACGUGAAUCUGCAAAUUUAAAACUCAAGUUAUUCUAGGGUUAACUGUACCAUGAUGAAUGUAGCAGUCCCCAUCUGUAAUCUAGGGCUUUCCCCUUUGUUGUACCUGUGCUCACUUCUAGUGGCUGUAUAUAUGUCUUAGGUUCUUUAUGAUCUUGGGCAGAGAGAUCUGCCUGCCUGCCUUGCUGGCCAGAUGCCUCGAAUGUGUAUCUCUUAGAAAAGUGCUAUGCUUUGUCUAUGUCCUCCAGUAACCAUCUGUUGUAAAGCUAAAUCUCAGUGUAAUGGUAUUGCCAGGUGGGGUCUAUUGGGAUGUGUUUAGAUCAUGAGGGUGGAACCCUCUGGAGAAAUACACUAAUAACACAAUAAACAGAGCUUAUUGAGCUGGAAUCUUUUUCUCUCUUCUGUUCAUCUGUAACGUUAAGACAAGGCCUUUCUUUCUUUGAAGGAGUCAAUGCUCCAGGCAUCAUCUUGAAAACAGAGAAAGCAGACAUUUACCUGCCCAUGCCUUGAUCUUAAAUUUCCCAUUCCUCAGAAGUGUGAGAAAAUCCAUUUCUGUUCUUUAUGAAUUACACAGUGACAAGGAAUCUGUUAUAGCAGCUUGAAAUGAAACAAGAGGGACAGCUCACAAUCAGUGAGGACAGGAUGAGGUGUAUACAUACCCCAGCUUCCUCAUCUCUCCGGUGGAACAGCCCAGAGGAAUUUACUCCAUGUUUCCACAUGUGGGUGAUCUUCAUUUCUCCUGAGUCAGGGCUUCCCUGACAAUGGCACUGAUGUGACUCCAUCCAGCAUCCAUUGUUGUGAGAACUCUAUUUGGCAUAUCAUCAUUGUGGGCAUGAACAUAAUGGAGACUUUCAUAGGAUGCCAUGGUUAAUAUUCAAUAUUAGUCAAAAUUUGUUCUAGUCCUAACCUGGGAACUCUACUUAGUUGGAAAAAUAUUAUAGGUAAGGACAAGCAUUUGGUAGAGUUUUAAAAUAAAGAAUACAAAGAAAUUUUCUUAGCAAGAGUAUCAACUAUAUGUGGUGCACAGUGCCAUUUUUGUAUGGAAUGUAACAAAGAUUAUUUAAAUGUAUAUGAAUACUAUAUAUAUUUGUAGCCAAUAUUUUAUCAAAUAAAUGCAUUUUCACUUCUAUGUAUAUUAUAUACAUAUAUACACAUUUUUCCAUAAAGUAAAUUUUAAUUUUUUAUACUGAAAUACUAAUUAGUUUUAAUUUUGACUUUAAUUUUCCCUUAAUAACUUCAUAAUUUCAUUACUAAAUGUUCACAUUUAUACCACCAAUUUAAGAAAAAUAUAUUUGUCUAUAUAUAGGUAAAGGUGUAAAUACUGUAUUAAGAAGCUUUCAUGCAUUAGUGAUUGGUAACUGGUUAAAUAUACAGCUCAGUGGGUGAUAACAGGAAACAUUUGUUUUCAUGUUCAUGGAUGCUCAUGUUCACAAUCAUCUGGCUGAUCAAGGAAGGGCUCAGCUGAGGGUUCUCUGAAGGGCACUGAGCCACCAGCCUAGAUAUCAAUUGGAGGACAAUGAACAGCAGUGAGCAUUACGACACACAAGAUUCUUGUGGCAGGUCUGAGGAGUCAACAACAUCCCAAACCAAACUGCACAGUUGAAUUUAAGCCCAAUAAUUUCUAACAUAGUUUCACACAUUUUAAAUAUAUUCCUUUACUUCAGUGAGUACAAAUUUUCAAGAAAAUAUUAACUCCAUUUAAUUAAAAAGGUGUUUGAUCAUUCCAUGGACAAAUAAUUGUGCUUUCAACCUGUACAACCUUGAAAAUAUUUGAAAACGUAAAUUUGCAU